UACGAAGGGGGGCUAGCGUUGCUCGGAAUCACUGGGCGUAAAGGGUGCGUAGGCGGGUCUUUUAAGUCAGGGGUGAAAUCCUGGAGCUCAACUCCAGAACUGCCUUUGAUACUGAGGAUCUUGAGUUCGGGAGAGGUGAGUGGAACUGCGAGUGUAGAGGUGAAAUUCGUAGAUAUUCGCAAGAACACCAGUGGCGAAGGCGGC
rnacentral:rRNA from 1 species